GUUAGCCGUCUCUUAUUCCUGGUGUACCGUCAUUCUUCUUCCACCAGAAAGGAGUUACACCCAUAGGGCGUCGUCCUCCACGCGGGAUCGCUGCAUCAGACUUUCGUCCAUUGUGCAAGAUUCCCCA
rnacentral:rRNA from 1 species